rnacentral:rRNA from 1 species
UACAGAGGUCUCAAGCGUUGUUCGGAUUCAUUGGGCGUAAAGGGUGCGUAGGCGGCGCGGUAAGUCGGGUGUGAAAUCUUGGAGCUUAACUCCGAAACUGCAUUCGAUACUGCCGUGCUUGAGGACUGGAGAGGAGACUGGAAUUUACGGUGUAGCGGUGAAAUGCGUAGAUAUCGUAAGGAAGACCAGUGGCGAAGGCGGAUCUCUGGGCCUGACCUGACGCUGAGGCGCGAAAGCUAGGGGAGCGAACAGG